rnacentral:misc_RNA from 2 species
UUUUAUUUUAUGUUUUUUAAAUGUUUGUUAGUUUUUUUGAAUGUGUUAUUUAAAUAACAUAAAAAAUAAAAUAUAUAUUGACAUGGAUUAAACAAAGAUAUAUAUUAUUUUAUGUUGCGUAAACAAAUUGGCAAAAUAGAGAUGGAAGAUAAAAAUAAA